AACCCAUGUUGUGGACACUUCCACAAAAGGUUCUUGAAUAGGUCCCAUGUCUCAAACAAAUUUUCAAGUUGCAUCUGAACAAAUAAAGAUAUCUUGUUAUGAAGCU